AUUGAACGCUGGCGGCAUGCCUUACACAUGCAAGUCGAACGGUAACAGGGAGCUUGCUCCGCUGACGAGUGGCGAACGGGUGAGUAAUGUAUCGGAACGUACCUUUCAGUGGGGGAUAACGUAGCGAAAGUUACGCUAAUACCGCAUAUUCUGUGAGCAGGAAAGCAGGGGACCUUCGGGACUUGCGCUGAUUGAGCGGCUGAUAUCAGAUUAGCUAGUUGGUGAGGUAAAGGCUAACCAAGGCGACGAUCUGUAGCGGGUCUGAGAGGAUGAUCCGCCACACUGGACCUGAGACACGGUCCAGACUCCUACGGGAGGCAGCAGUGGGGAAUUUUGGACAAUGGGGGCAACCCUAAUCCAGCCAUGCCGCGUGAGUGAAGAAGGCCUUCGGGUUGUAAAGCUCUUUCGGCCGGGAAAAAAUCGCAUGGGCUAAUACCCUGUGUGGAUGAUGGUACCGGAAUAAGAAGCACCGGCUAACUACGUGCCAGCAGCCGCCGUAAAAC
rnacentral:rRNA from 1 species